rnacentral:tRNA from 1 species
GCUGGAAUAGCUCAGUUGAUUAGUGCGUGUGGCUGUUAACCACAAGGUCGGAGGUUCAAGCCCUCCUUCUAGCG